AAUGAGCGCCGUGUUUAAACAAGUGUAUAGAACACAUCUGUCCGGGCCUUGAGACUCGAGGCUGUGUGACCAAUUUCAGCAUCUGAAAGUUAAAUUAAUGGUAAAGGGUUUAAUUGUGAGUAAACAAUACCGCAUUAAGGAGCAGUAAACACAGCAGUGGGGACCCACCGGCCGGCUCUGGCAUCACAGAUGCGGCUGCCUCCAUGUGACCGUUAAUAGUCUCCCCCCGCCCCGGACUUUCUGACAGUGUCUUGAAGGCCAUUUGUCAUCUAAAUGGUCCAUCCCGUUCUCAAACCUAAUUUUGGCCCACGGUCCGUUCGCGGGGCCCGCGGGGUCUGUGUUCUCGGGAAGGUGGGCGGAAAAAUCCCGAGGCCAGUGGGGUGGGCCUGGAAAAGUUCCAGCGUCUACACCGAAGCACAGAGCGGGGGCGAGAGGGGCCAGACGCCCCCUCAUAUCCAGGCAACCGGCGUCCGUCCAGGGUGGUGAGUCCGCCUUCGACUCCAGGCUUCAAUGACAAUGAUUCCAAACCUGGUUUUAAAACACCCUAGGGUGUCUCCGACGAACAAAGGAUGCCUCAAAAGCAAAUUAAGUUCCCUUUAAUUAAAGAUCAUAACAUACGCCACAGAACAUUCCGUCACGGUAGGGGGAAGGAAGAGACUGUCACAUAAAAUAAAUAGGGCUCCACAACUUUAAAAAAUUAAGAAUUACACGGCGAGGACGCUGCGCCUUCCCGAUGUGUUAACGGCAAUCGUCCCCGGCACCUUGGAAAUUGAGCGUGGCCAUCACCGUAUGAGGCAGAGGGUUGCUCCCUGCCGGUGCGAACCCAGGGACUAAAGCCCUUGGCCUUGGGAAGGAGAAGGACGCAGGUCAGGUCGUCUCUGUCUUUCUCCCCAUCCACCUCGGUCAGGUUGGAGACAUCCUGGAAAGGUCUGGAGGCUCACAGGGGCACAGGACCGUGCUCUCCUGAGAGGAGCAUGGUGUCUCUGUCAGCACCUUUAACUGUCCCCACCCGGGAAGGCCAGCAGCAGGUAACUCGGCCGCCGGGGACUUUAUUCUCAUUUGCAACCCGAACAAAGGAAUACGCCGUGCAGCCCAGCCCCUGUUGCCAGAACCCUAAACUGGGGUCUGCUGGGGGUGGGGGGAGCCUCAGCUGCGGACAUCGGAGCCUUUGGCCUCUCUCAGGACGUGUUCCUCAAGGACCUCACAGAAACGGGGGCUGCUCAUGGCCAAGGUGGAGUCGCAAAGGCACCCGGUUUUCCGCUUCCCUUCCUUUGAGCGUGCGAGCGUGUGGUUUCAAAGACAAUAGAGUCUCAUGGCGUCGCACCCAGACUCCGAAGUCAGGGUCAAAUCCAGGCUCUGCCACUUAACACCUAAGCCUCUAUUUCCUCAUCUGUGAAAUGGGGGUACUAACUGUGUGGCGGAGAGGAUUGAAUCCAUCAGUAAGGGGCUUUGAACGGUGAGUGGCACAGAGUAAGCGCCCACUGAAUGCCGGAAGCUAUGAUGAUAGGUGUGUGACAGGUGCCCCUUCUUUUUUUAUAUACAGUUACUUAUUUUUGAGAGACAGAGAGAGGCAGAGCACAAAUGGGGGAGGGGCAGAGAGAGAGGGAGACACAGGAUCCGAAGCAGCCUCCGGGCUCCCGGCUGUCCGCACAGAGCCCAAGGCGGGGCUCGAACCCACGAACCCUGAGAUCAUGACCUGAGCCGAAGUCAGACGCUUAACCGACUGAGCCACCCAGGCGCCCCUAACAGGUGCCCCUUCUAACAAGGCCUAAAGACGCUGAUGCGUAGGAACAGCGCAAGGAGAGCAGAGCCGCCGGCGUCGUGUCUGGAUCACCCUGAGCCCCAGGCUGCUGAGUUGGCAGGCCCGUGUCUGUGUGUGUGUGUGUGUGUGUGUGUGUGUGUGUGUACGUGUGUGCGCGCGCACUAAGGCUUUUCCUCCGCCUCCCUGGUCCACCCCUCGCCACAGCCCAGUCCACGGGGCAGCGCCAGACCCUGCGGACACCAGCGCUGCGACAGGAAGGUGCACGCGGCUCCGUGCCUGCCUGGCCAGGCUGUCCUUCCGCGCCAUUCAGAACGCCGGGGGCUCAGUCCCCACAAGCGGUGUAAGGAAGUUGUCGCCUCAGAAAGCCAGCUCCGCGUCAAAACCAGCCCUCUAGCUCCAAGUCAAGUCUGCAGGACUGCAUUUCUGAGAAAGUUUCCCCAACAUGUUGGCUCAUUUCAUGUUCUACAUACAGAUAACCUCGGGGCGCCUGGGUGGCUCAGUCGGUUGGGUGGCUGACUUCGGCUCAGGUUCAAGACCCACAUGGGGCUCUGUGCUGACAGCUGGGAGCCCGGAGCCUGCUUCAGAUUCUGUGUCUCCCUCUCUCUCUCUGCCCCUGCCCUGCUCACGCUCUCUCUCUCUCUCUCAAAAAUAAACACGAAAAAAAAAUUUUUUUUAAUACAGAUAACCUCGCAUUUCUAUUUCCAAAACCCUCUUGCUGGUGUUUUUUUCUUUUUCUUUUUCUUUCUUUUUUCUUUUUCUUAACACAAAAUGGUUUUCUGUAUUUGUGUGCUUCUCCGAGACCCCGGAAUUUCGAACUGUGAGUGGUGAUGCACUCACUGAAAGGGGGCUCUGGGGGGACCUGCCCGAAACGGCUUUGGGACCAACAAAUGGCUUGGGGGUGGGGUGUACCAGAGAAGCCUCCUCCUCCUUCCACUGCCCCACCGGCCACCCUUUUGGUGCCGAUCUGCAAAGGUCAGGUUUCUCCCAAAGAAGCCCAAGAAAUUCUUCCCUCACUUGGCCACAGAGGUUGGGUGACGGAGUCGCAUCCCCACGAAGGCAGGACCGGCGCGUCUCUUGGUUUGAGAUCGUUCCUGGCCCGACAUGUCCUUCCUCCUGUUCCGGGCCCGACAAGCGCGCCCAUGACACACGGCGUUGGGGAACGAUGAGGCCAAGACAUCCCAUUGGUGGCCGAGGAGUCCUUCGGCCUUCCAGGGACAGCCCGAGCCCGCCCAUCGCCCUCCUAGGCCCUGGCACCCCCUCCGCUCCUGCUGAGGCUACCCUGGUCUCUGAAAGAAGGUGGGCUGAGUUUUCGGCAAUCACUUGCAGGCAUGCAACAGAUGUUUGUAGUCCCUCGGAAGUGGAAGGAAAGCCGGACACCCUCUCCCUUGCUGAUUUUUUGCCAAACUUUUGCCUUCUGCUCUGAAAUUCUAACUUCCGAUGAAGUCUUUUGCAGAGCUGUUACCAAAACAGAAGGAGCAGAGCCCUGAAUCCCACGAUGCCGCCCCCCCGCCCCAACCCAACCCUCCAGAGCACACCUGCUGUGGUCUUUCAUCAGAGAACAGGCUGAAAAUCAUUGCACCUUCUCUGGCUCACUUUGCGGUUGGUAAGAUGUGGCCCAGAGAAGCACAUCAGCUGGUAGAAAGUAGCACAGCGAUCAGCAGACAGACAUCUCAAAACAUACGUGCAGGGGCCCUCGGGUAAAAUACGGACCCAUCCCAGAGACCAUCCUCCUCAUCAUACUCUGCGGCCCCAUCAGAUCACGGUCCCUCUGCCCCCCAGGUCUUGUCCGAUGGACACCCUGCGUAUUUUAAAGGGGAAAGACGCUCAUUUUCGGCCCCCAACCCCCUUUUUUAAAGCACGGGCCACAGAGCCAACCAUCUCAGUAGGAAGGGGAAAGGUAACCCAUCGAGGCAACACGCACUGUCUUCCUCCCUCCUCUGUGACUUCAGUUUGUCUUUAAAGCCCAUUUUCACCACUUAUUGAUUUUAGUUUUCUACUGGUCUGUGAAUGACAAGUUGAAUUAAGACAACACAGGCUGAGAAGCCACUAGGCCGUGCCCUAAGAUACCCUGUGCUUCCUGGCAGACUGUGUCACAACCAUACAGCCUCCUGGCCAGCCCCAGCCUCCAGAGCCCCCCCCCCACACACUGCUUGGCUAUCUGGCACGGGGAGCAGUUGAGCGAGGACAGGGUUCUGAGGUGGGGGGAGAGCUUAGCAUCACCUCCCAGCUGCCCACCUCGCAGCCUCUUUAUGGACAGAGGUGGCCUGUUCGCUGAAGGGGCUGUGUAUGAAACGGGAGUUCCAGAAGAGACCAAAGAUUCGGCCCUGCCUCUGCCUGCGCUGGGCAGGGAAACUAAGCCUGACUGUCCCGGUUCCUCCAGACUCACCCUUGGAGAGAGCCAACCCACCAAGGCAGCUUUAAGUGACUGAGUCCACCUCCCCCUCAAGGCUGCUCACCUCGGACAGCCUUUGGACACAAAUGCCAGUCAGUGACACCUGAAAAGUUGCACAGAUGACAUACCCAAUCCCUUAAUCUGUACUGUAAACUGAAAAAAAAAAAAA
rnacentral:lncRNA from 1 species